rnacentral:rRNA from 1 species
GACGUAGGGUGCGAGCGUUGUCCGGAGUUACUGGGCGUAAAGGGCGCGUAGGCGGUCUCGUUCGUCGCACGUGAAAGCCCCCGGCUCAACUGGGGAGGGUCGUGCGAGACAGCGAGACUGGAGGCAGGGAGAGGCUGGUGGGAUUCCCGGAGUAGUGGUGAAAUGCGUAGAGAUCGGGAGGAACACCGGUGGCGCAGGCGGCCAGCUGGCCCUGACCUGACGCUGAGGCGCGAAGGCGUGGGGAGCGAACGGG